GGAGCGGGGAGGCAGAGGAGUCCAGCUGCGGAAAGGGGAGCAGGCCUGGAAGCUGCCCGGGCUUGUGUUUCCGGGGGUGGAGGUCUCCUCCUACCCCACUGAGGAACGGUGCGCGCGGAUGGGCUGAGAGCUCUGCCUGGGCUGGUCCCAAAGCCUAGCCGGCUGCCUGCGGACCCACGAGACAACAGUCACAACUUCACCUGCUUAUCAUGAAAGCUCCAUGUGACAACAAUGUGAGAACGCCAGUGAAGGGCAUUUGAAAAACAAAGGGAUUCAUGAAUGGGGUCCCUCACCAGCGACCAACCCCCUGCCCUCACCGGUGCCCUGGGAACUACACAAGAAUUCACAGAUGGAGUUUUCCCCUGUCUCCGGGCUGGGGUGCAGUAGUGUGAUCUCAGCUCACUGCAACCUCCGCCUCCCAGGUUCAAGCAUUUCUCCUGCCUCAGACUGCUGAGUAGCUGGAACUACAGGUGCCCGACAGCCUAA
rnacentral:lncRNA from 1 species